UUUGACACCCCGAGUUGUCUUUUGGCCUAAAUUUCCAUUAAAAAUAAAUGAUGUUACACUUGGAAAAUGUCGUGAAAAAUUAAAUUGGUAGUACAUAGUUUAAAUAGCAAAAAUUAGGAGUUAAAUGUGGGAAUAUGAAAACUUUAGAAUAUUAAAUGUUUAAUCUAAGUUAGUGGUCCACUAACUCAAUUAAGUGGCCAUAUAAUCAGCAUAUUUUGGGCAGAUUGCUCAUCUUCUUCAACAUUGCAAAAACCAGCCGUGAGCCUCCAUUGAAGAACCUCCAUGGCCAAGCUCCAUGCAACCAUGAUUUAGCCAUAUUUUUUACUAGCUUCCUUCACAAAAACUGUUCUACACCACUUGGGCAGUAGAUAGGCAGCAAGAAGACCAAGUUUUGGAGAGAUUUUGAAGAGUUUCCAAAGUGUUAGCAAAGACUCAGGGAAAGGGAAGGAAACACUGAGUCAAGGCCAGGAGACAGUUAUCAGAGGUAGGCAGACUGACUGGGCAGCAGACUAGGCAGCUAGUGCAUUCAGCGAGUGAUCAUCGGGUAUAUUGAGUAUACUGUAUUUUGUAUUUUGUAUUGUAAUGUAUGUUCA
rnacentral:misc_RNA from 1 species